rnacentral:rRNA from 1 species
UGGGGAAUAUUGCACAAUGGGCGAAAGCCUGAUGCAGCAACGCCGCGUGAGUGAUGAAGGUCUUCGGAUUGUAAAGCUCUGUCUUUUGGGACGAUAAUGACGGUACCAAAGGAGGAAGCCACGGCUAACUACGUGCCAGCAGCCGCGGUAAUACGUAGGUGGCGAGCGUUGUCCGGAUUUACUGGGCGUAAAGGGUGCGUAGGCGGAUGUUUAAGUGAGAUGUGAAAUACCCGGGCUUAACUUGGGUGCUGCAUUUCAAACUGGAUAUCUAGAGUGCAGGAGAGGAGAAUGGAAUUCCUAGUGUAGCGGUGAAAUGCGUAGAGAUUAGGAAGAACACCAGUGGCGAAGGCGAUUCUCUGGACUGUAACUGACGCUGAGGCACGAAAGCGUGGGUAGCAAACAGGAUUAGAUACCCUGGUAGUCCACGCCGUAAACGAUGAGUACUAGGUGUAGGAGGUAUCGACCCCUUCUGUGCCGCAGUAAACACAUUAAGUACUCCGCCUGGGGAAGUACGAUCGCAAGAUUAAAACUCUAAAGUGAAUUGACGGGGU